GUUGGAGAUUUUAAUGGUCGAACAGCAUCAGAGAAAGAUUUUCUUAUUUUAGAUUCUCAUGAUCCUUCAAAUAAUUUCUCUGAUUUAAUAGAAAAUAGUGUGUCCAUUUUGGACUUUUUAGAUAUUCCGAGGGAAAGAAAAAAUAGAGAUAUUGGAAAAAAUAAAUAUGGUUCUUUAUUAUUGGACUUUUGCAAGGGGAAUAACUGUUUUAUACUUAAUGGGAGGAUAAAUGGUGACAAGGAAGGAAAGUUGACUUGCAGGAAUGCAAGUGUUGUAGAUUAUUGCAUUAGUAAUGUGAAUUUUAUAAAUAGAUUUUGUACUUUGGAAGUAGUAGAUUUUUCAAAAUUAUUUUCUGAUGUACAUUGUCCAUUGUCUAUUAGUGUGUAUGCAACAAAUGUAGACGGAUGUGAGUACCUGAUUAUAUAAACCUGAUUAAUAUGAGUAAAUGUAUAAUUUGUUGAGAAACUAUGUGAAAUUUUUAUAGAAAGUGCAAAAGCUACAUUUGGCAUUUCUCAUAGUAAAAACGGGAAAACACGUCAGAAAUCGUUUAUGAAUAAACCCUGGUUUAACCGAGAAUGUAAAUUUGCGAGACAAAAUUAUCGUAAAUUUAGACGAAAAUUUAAAAAAAAAUCGAACUACAGUAAAUAGAUCCAAUUUGGCUGGAUCGGAAAACAUAUACAAGAAAACUCUCGACAAAAAUCAUAGAUUAUACCGGCAAAAUCUUUCAAAAAAAUUGAAAGAAUUGAGAACCAAAAAUUCUAGAGACUAUUGGAAAGUACUUAACCAGGGAAAGC
rnacentral:lncRNA from 1 species